rnacentral:rRNA from 1 species
UACAGAGGGUGCAAGCGUUGUUCGGAAUUAUUGGGCGUAAAGAGCUCGUAGGCGGCUUGGCAAGUCGGGUGUGAAAACUCCAGGCUCAACCUGGAGCCGCCAUUCGAUACUGCUAUGGCUAGAGUCCGGUAGGGGAGUGUGGAAUUCCCGGUGUAGCGGUGAAAUGCGCAGAUAUCAGGAGGAACACCGGUGGCGAAGGCGGGUCUCUGGGCCGAUACUGACGCUGAGGAGCGAAAGCGUGGGGAGCGAACAGG